GACAGGAUGGCCGAGUGGUCUAAGGCGCAGCAUUUAGGCUGCUGUCUUUCGAGGCGUGGGUUCGAAUCCCACUUCUGUCA
rnacentral:tRNA from 1 species